UGGAGAGUUUGAUCCUGGCUCAGGAUGAACGCUGGCGGCGUGCCUAAUACAUGCAAGUCGAGCGGCAGCGGGCUCACUGGCUUCUUCUUUUCUGCGGAGACAGGAAUAGCGAUUUCGAAGAAAUCGCGUUCUCAGUACCGAAGGAGGAAUGCUUCCGGGCUUCACCAAUACUUAUAAGGUGAAAUUCAGAAGCAGACAAAGGAGAAGGUUGUGAGCGCCGGCGAGCGGCGGACGGCUGAGUAACGCGUGGGAACGUGCCCCAAAGUGAGGGAUAAGCACCGGAAACGGUGUCUAAUACCGCAUAUGAUCUUCGGAUUAAAGCUUUAUGCGCUUUGGGAGCGGCCCGCGUCCGAUUAGCUAGUUGGUGAGGUAAAGGCUUACCAAGGCUACGAUCGGUAGCUGGUCUGAGAGGAUGAUCAGCCAGACUGGGACUGAGACACGGCCCAGACUCCUACGGGAGGCAGCAGUAAGGAAUCUUCCACAAUGGGGGCAACCCUGAUGGAGCAACGCCGCGUGCAGGACGAAGGCCUUCGGGUCGUAAACUGCUUUUAUGAGUGAAGAAUAUGACGGUAACUCAUGAAUAAGGGUCGGCUAACUACGUGCCAGCAGCCGCGGUCAUACGUAGGACCCAAGCGUUAUCCGGAGUGACUGGGCGUAAAGAGUUGCGUAGGUGGUCAGUAAAGCGAAUGGUGAAAUCUGAGGGCUCAACCUUACAGACUAUCAUUCGAACUCACUGACUCGAGAACAGCAGAGGUAACUGGAAUUUCUGAAGUAGGGGUAAUAUCCGUAGAUAUCAGAAGGAACACCAAUGGCGUAGGCAGGUUACUGGGCUGUUUCUGACACUGAGGCACGAAAGCGUGGGGAGCGAACCGGAUUAGAUACCCGGGUAGUCCACGCCGUAAACGAUGGAUACUAGCUGUGGGGGGUAUCGACCCCCUCCGUAGCGAAGCUAACGCGUUAAGUAUCCCGCCUGGGAAGUACGGCCGCAAGGCUAAAACUCAAAGGAAUAGACGGGGACCCACACAAGCAGUGGAUCAUG
rnacentral:rRNA from 1 species